rnacentral:lncRNA from 1 species
UUUUUUAAAAGAAAUGUAUGUGUUGACACGUGGGCAUAAUGGCUGGGGUCUUUUUUAUAUUUAAAAAUAGUAUAGCCGCACGGCGAUACUCUGUUUUGAAUUUUAAUGUGUUGACACGUGGCCCCUGUUGGCUGGGGGACUUUUUUUAUAUUUAAAAAUAAUAUAGCCGCACGGCUAUACUCUGUUUUGAAUUUUUUUUAAAGAAAUAUAUGUGUUGACACGUGGGCAUAAUGGCUGGGGGUCUUUUUUUAUAUUUAAAAAUAGUAUAGGCGCACGGCUAUACGCUGUUUUGAAUUUUUUUUCAAAAAGACAUGUGGCCCCUAUUGGUUGGGGGACUUAUCUCAUAUUUAAAAAUAGUAUAGCCGUUCGGCUAUACUCUGUUUUGAAAAUUUUUUAUUAAAAAGAAAUGUGUUGACACGUGGGUAUAAUGGCUGGGGUCUUUUUUAUAUUUAAAAGUAGUAUAGCCGCACGGCGAUACUCGGUUUUGAAUUUUUUUUAAAGAAAUAUAUGUGUUGACACGUGGGCAUAAUGGCUGGGGGUUCUUUUUUAUAUUUUAAAAACAGUAUAGCCGAACGGCUAUACUCUGUUUUGAAAAUUUUUUAUUAAAAAGAAAUGUAUUGACACGUGGGCAUGAUGGCUAGGGCUCUUUUUUUAUAUUUAAAAAUAGUAGAGCCGCACGGCUAUACUCGGUUUGGAAAUUUUUUAAAAGAAAUGUAUGUCUUGACAGGUGGGCAUAAUGGCUGGGGUCUUUUUUUCUAUUUAAAAAUAGUAUAGCCUCACGGCUAUACUCUGUUUUGAAUUUUUUUAAGAAUAUAUGUGUUCACACGUGGUCCCUAUUGGUUGGGGGACUUUUUUAAAAAUCGUAUAGCCGGCCGGCUAUACUCGGUUUUGAUUUUUUUUUAAAGAAAUAUAUGUGUUGACACGUGGGCCCUGUUGGUUGGGGGACUUUUUUCAUACUUAAAAAUAGUAUAGCCGCACGGCUAUACUCUGUUUUGAAAAUUUUUUAAUUAGAAAGUUUUUUUGACACGUGGGCAUGAUGGCUGGGGCUCUUUUUUUAUAUUUAAAAAUCGUAGAGCCGCACGGCUAGACUCGGUUUGGAAUUUUUUUAAAAGAAAUGUAUGUCUUGACACGUGGGCAUAAUGGCUGGGGUCUUAUUUUCUAUUUAAAAAU